ensembl:lncRNA
GGGGUAGAAAUGUGUUAUUUCCCAGCGAAAAGUGGUAUUUUCGGGAAGGAAGUGCAGAAUUUUUGGGAGACAGGUGGUAUUUUUGGAUGAAAAUGCAUGAUUUUCGAGAGAAAAGUGGUAUUUCUCGAGAGAAAAUGCGUGAUUUUGGGGUGAAAGGUGGUAUAUUUGGGGGAGAAAUGUGUUAUUUCCCAGCGAAAAGUGGUAUUUUCGGGAAGGAAGUGCAGAAUUUUUGGGAGACAGGUGGUAUUUUCGGGGUGAAAAUGCAUGAUUUUCGAGAGAAAAGUGGUAUUUCUCGAGAGAAAAUGCGUGAUUUUGGGUGAAAGGUGGUAAUUUGGGGUAGAUGUUUUAUUCUCCAGCAAAAAAUGGUAUUUUCGGGUAGAAAAUGUGUGAUGUUUGGACAGAGGUGCUAUUUUUCGAGGGGGAAAGGCGUGAUUUUCAAGCAAAAACUUGUAGUUUCGGAGUGACAAUGCAUGGUUUUCGUUAGCAAAGUCGUAUUUUACUAAAGAAAAUGCGUGAUUUUCUUGUGAAAGGUGGUAUUUUCGGGGUGAAAAUGCAUGAUUU